AAAUUACUAAGUUGUUCAAAGAAAGAAUAGAUCCCAAUGGUUAUGCAUGGGGACAACUUAGUGUUGAGACAGUUGAAUUUUAUUGGGAAGAAUUCAAGAAAUUUUUUGAGUGGGAUGCUAGUAAAACUGUUGUAGUGUAUAAUGCUUGGGAGAUAAAGGCUAAAAGAAGAUAUGCUGAUUACAUAAGCAGAAUAAGGAAAAAGCCAAGACCUCCCUAUGUCCCACCCGAAAUAUGGACAAAAUGGAAUGAUGUUUGGAAUUCUGAGGAGGGCAA